CCUACGGGAGGCAGCAGUGGGGAAUUUUGGACAAUGGGCGAAAGCCUGAUCCAGCAAUGCCGCGUGUGUGAAGAAGGCCUUCGGGUUGUAAAGCACUUUUGUCCGGAAAGAAAUGGCUCUGGUUAAUACCUGGGGUCGAUGACGGUACCGGAAGAAUAAGGACCGGCUAACUACGUGCCAGCAGCCGCGGUAAUACGUAGGGUCCAAGCGUUAAUCGGAAUUACUGGGCGUAAAGCGUGCGCAGGCGGUUGUGCAAGACCGAUGUGAAAUCCCCGAGCUUAACUUGGGAAUUGCAUUGGUGACUGCACGGCUAGAGUGUGUCAGAGGGGGGUAGAAUUCCACGUGUAGCAGUGAAAUGCGUAGAGAUGUGGAGGAAUACCGAUGGCGAAGGCAGCCCCCUGGGAUAACACUGACGCUCAUGCACGAAAGCGUGGGGAGCAAACAGGAUUAGAUACCCUGGUAGUCC
rnacentral:rRNA from 1 species